AGAGUUUGACUCUGGCUCAGGAUGAACGCUAGCGAUAGGCUUAACACAUGCAAGUCGAGGGGCAGCGAGAUGUAGCAAUACGUCGUCGGCGACCGGCGAAUGGGUGAGUAACACGUAUGCAACUUACCUCUUAGUGGUGAAUAACUCGAUGAAAGUCGGACUAAUACACCAUACUCUCCUUAGAUCACAUGAGAAGAGGAGGAAAGAUUAAUCGCUAAGAGAUAGGCCUGCGUUCCAUUAGCUAGUUGGUAAGGUAACGGCUUACCAAGGCAACGAUGGAUAGGGGGACUGAGAGGUUGACCCCCCACAUUGACACUGAGAUACGGGUCAAACUCCUACGGGAGGCAGCAGUGAGGAAUAUUGGUCAAUGGGCGAGAGCCUGAACCAGCCAAGUCGCGUGAGGGAUGAAUGGUCUAUGGCCUGUAAACCUCUUUUGUCAAGGAAGAAUAAAUCGCACGGGUGCGAUCUUGCCAGUACUUGACGAAUAAGCAUCGGCUAACUCCGUGCCAGCAGCCGCGGUAAUACGGGGGAUGCGAGCGUUAUCCGGAUUUAUUGGGUUUAAAGGGCGCGUAGGCGGGACGUCAAGUCAGCGGUAAAAGACUGCAGCUAAACUGUAGCACGCCGUUGAAACUGGCGCCCUCGAGACGAGACGAGGGAGGCGGAACAAGUGAAGUAGCGGUGAAAUGCAUAGAUAUCACUUGGAACCCCGAUAGCGAAGGCAGCUUCCCAGGCUCGAUCUGACGCUGAUGCGCGAGAGCGUGGGUAGCGAACAGGAUUAGAUACCCUGGUAGUCCACGCCGUAAACGAUGCUCACUGGAUCUUGGCGAUACACAGCCAGGGUUCAAGCGAAAGUAUUAAGUGAGCCACCUGGGGAGUACGUCGGCAACGAUGAAACUCAAAGGAAUUGACGGGGGCCCGCACAAGCGGAGGAACAUGUG
rnacentral:rRNA from 1 species